rnacentral:lncRNA from 1 species
GCAACCAUAACGAGUGAGAGUAGAUUGAAAAACUUUCAAUACAAAGCUAGAUUGUAGUUCGAUUACAAUAAUGUUAAUAAGUAAAAUGUAAUAUCCUAAUAGAUAGUCAAUAAAACGAAAUGAAGCUUUUCAACAUAGAUUAAUGAGAAAAUUAGGGGAUGUGAAGAGGAAAAAAGUUACUGUACUUACAAAUAUAUCUUCUUUGUGGCAUUUCAACAAACAUCUAAUGUGCAACGUCCUAUGUCAUCUCUACAUAUCCAACAUCCAAAAAGUUCAUGCUUCUUUCUGCAAUUUUCCUGAUCAGAGCCAACAUAAGAAAUCAAUCUAUAAUAAUUAAAAAUAUUCUACGAUUUGAAAUUAUAUUUUAAACAAACUUGGCAUUGGAAACGGAAGAACAUAUCAAUUAGUUUUAAUGAUGUUGAAGACAAAUGAGCGAGAAGAUGAAGGAGAAACGGAAGAGUCAUACAUACAUUUGAGGAGUAUCUGACCGGGUGGGAGGAUAAUUAUAUACACAUUGACCAUCACCAUAAUUAACAACUCUUUAAUCUACAUUUUCAAUACUUAUUUUCGCUCAAAAACAUAAACGUAAAAGCAAAAUUAUAAACAUUACAAUUCUUAAAUAACACAGAUAAAAAAAGAACCGUACUUGCUAUUUUCAAGCAAAACUUUCCAUCCUAAAAAAUGAGUCAGAAAAUGAUUAAAACUGAGAUCAGUCAAAUGCUUGGAAGCUAAUUAUUCAGAAACAAAUUUAAA